rnacentral:rRNA from 1 species
UACGGAGGGUCCAAGCGUUGUCCGGAAUUAUUGGGUUUAAAGGGUGCGUAGGCGGUUUUUUAAGUCAGAGGUGAAAUCCUACAGCUCAACUGUAGAACGGCCUUUGAUACUGGAAGACUUGAGUACACUAGAGGCAGGCGGAAUUUAUGAUGUAGCGGUGAAAUGCAUAGAUAUCAUAAAGAACACCGAUAGCGAAGGCAGCUUGCUGGAGUGUAACUGACGCUGAGGCACGAAAGCGUGGGUAGCGAACAGG